rnacentral:piRNA from 1 species
UCAACUCGUUGAAUUUUAAGA